CAAAUGAUGAUAAUUUUGGUCCGUGUUUAUGAAUUUAGUUGAUUAUAAUUUAACUUCCAAGUAACUGAAUCAU
rfam:Culex pipiens quinquefasciatus supercont3.119 genomic scaffold, whole genome shotgun sequence.